rnacentral:rRNA from 1 species
GACGAACGCUGGCGGCGUGCUUAACACAUGCAAGUCGAACGGAAAGACCCUGCUUUUGUGGGGUGCUCGAGUGGCGAACGGGUGAGUAACACGUGAGUAACCUGCCCUUGACUUUGGGAUAACUUCAGGAAACUGGGGCUAAUACCGGAUAGGAGCUCCUGCUGCAUGGUGGGGGUUGGAAAGUUUCGGCGGUUGGGGAUGGACUCGCGGCUUAUCAGCUUGUUGGUGGGGUAGUGGCUUACCAAGGCUUUGACGGGUAGCCGGCCUGAGAGGGUGACCGGCCACAUUGGGACUGAGAUACGGCCCAGACUCCUACGGGAGGCAGCAGUGGGGAAUAUUGCACAAUGGGCGGAAGCAUGAUGCAGCAACGCCGCGUGCGGGAUGACGGCCUUCGGGUUGUAAACCGCUUUCGCCUGUGACGAAGCGUGAGUGACGGUAAUGGGUAAAGAAGCACCGGCUAACUACGU